GAUGCGGUGGCGAAAAGUGGCGCACAACUAAGUCCACGACGGUAAACGCGGGAGGCAUCCUGCUUUGGUGGCCGCCAAAGCUUGCUGGUUCGAAUCCAGCCCGCAUCA
rnacentral:tRNA from 1 species